UACGUAGGGGGCAAGCGUUGUCCGGAAUCAUUGGGCGUAAAGCGCGCGUAGGCGGUCAGGAAAGUCCGGUGUGAAAGUCAUAGGCUCAACCUAUGGAUGCCGCUGGAAACUGCCUGACUUGAGUCCGGAAGGGGCGAGUGGAAUUCCUGGUGUAGCGGUGAAAUGCGCAGAUAUCAGGAGGAACACCAAUGGCGAAGGCAGCUCGCUGGAACGGUACUGACGCUGAGGCGCGAAAGCGUGGUGAGCGAACAGG
rnacentral:rRNA from 1 species